GACGAACGCUGGCGGCAUGCCUAACACAUGCGAGUCGAGCGAGUUGAUCCCUUCGGGGUGAAGCUAGCGGCGGACGGGUGAGUAACACGUGGGCAACCUGCCUCAUAGAGGGGAAUAGCCUUCCGAAAGGAAGAUUAAUACCGCAUAAGAUUGUAGCUUCGCAUGAAGCAGCAAUUAAAGGAGCAAUCCGCUAUGAGAUGGGCCCGCGGCGCAUUAGCUAGUUGGUGAGGUAACGGCUCACCAAGGCGACGAUGCGUAGCCCACCUGAGAGGGUGAUCGGCCACAUUGGGACUGAGACACGGCCCAGACUCCUACGGGAGGCAGCAGUGGGGAAUAUUGCACAAUGGGGGAAACCCUGAUGCAGCAAUGCCGCGUGAGUGAUGACGGCCUUCGGGUUGUAAAGCUCUGUCUUCGGGGACGAUAAUGACGGUACCCGAGGAGGAAGCCACGGCUAACUACGUGCCAGCCGCCGCCGUAA
rnacentral:rRNA from 1 species